rnacentral:rRNA from 1 species
AGUGAACGCUGGCGGUAGGCCUAACACAUGCAAGUCGAACGGCAGCACAGUAAGAGCUUGCUCUUACGGGUGGCGAGUGGCGGACGGGUGAGGAAUACAUCGGAAUCUACUUUUUCGUGGGGGAUAACGUAGGGAAACUUACGCUAAUACCGCAUACGACCUACGGGUGAAAGCAGGGGAUCUUCGGACCUUGCGCGAUUGAAUGAGCCGAUGUCGGAUUAGCUAGUUGGCGGGGUAAAGGCCCACCAAGGCGACGAUCCGUAGCUGGUCUGAGAGGAUGAUCAGCCAAACUGGAACUGAGACACGGUCCAGACUCCUACGGGAGGCAGCAGUGGGGAAUAUUGGACAAUGGGCGCAAGCCUGAUCCAGCCAUACCGCGUGGGUGAAGAAGGCCUUCGGGUUGUAAAGCCCUUUUGUUGGGAAAGAAAAGCAGCAGGUUAAUACCCCGCUGUUCUGACGGUACCCAAGGAAUAAGCACCGGCUAACUUCGUG